rnacentral:rRNA from 1 species
UGCUCGAGUGGCGAACGGGUGAGUAACACGUGAGUAACCUGCCCUUGACUUUGGGAUAACUUCAGGAAACUGGGGCUAAUACCGGAUAGGAGCUCCUGCUGCAUGGUGGGGGUUGGAAAGUUUCGGCGGUUGGGGAUGGACUCGCGGCUUAUCAGCUUGUUGGUGGGGUAGUGGCUUACCAAGGCUUUGACGGGUAGCCGGCCUGAGAGGGUGACCGGCCACAUUGGGACUGAGAUACGGUCCAG